CGUAGCGUAGUGGUUAACGCGUCAGGUUGUGGCCCUGAAGAUCGAGGGUUCAAAUCCCUCCG
rnacentral:tRNA from 1 species